UUGUCUGGGUGAUUUUCUGUUUGGGAUUUUUUGUUUCCUCUUCCUCUUCAGUUUCACUUUCACAGACAUGAACCACCACGCUCGGUGUUGACUCGGUUCCCGCGUGAAGUUCGUAUUUCUCUCCUGUGGAGUCAACUGUUGGGUGAUGGCCUUGGAGUUGCUUACUAUGUACGUAUUCAUGGCGCCAAGCUUGCACAGAAUGAAAAGCCACUUAAAACAAAUGGAAACGGCUGAUAUGAAGCUAACACGGUAUGUGUGAAAACGUGGAGGAGCAAGACACGACUCCUCUUCAUCAAGGGUGGACGUUCAUUUCCUUUCUGGUGGUGUUUUCUUCAUGGACAUUAGAGAAUGAAGGUGAUUUUUCAAGUUAGGGACCCAUCUUUCCAAAGACAUGUAAACUUG